GAUUUCUGACUUGGCGCACCUGGCCCGCCACGGUUACGUGUGUGAGUGCCGGGAUGCGCCUGUCACUUUUCUGGUAAACCAUUGUGCUCUUCACUGGGUGUGAUGGGUAGCCAGAUAUUUUACUUUGAAAAAAUUAGAGUGUUUAAAGCAGGCGUUUGCUAUGAAUACAUUAGCAUGGAAUAAUAAGUUAGGACUUCGGUUCUAUUUUGUUGGUUUCUAGGACUGAAGUAAUGAUUGAUAGGGAUAGUUGGGGGUGCUAGUAUUCAGCGGCCAGAGGUGAAAUUCUCGGAUUCGCUGAAGACUAACUUAUGCGAAAGCAUU
rnacentral:rRNA from 1 species